rnacentral:rRNA from 1 species
AUAUUGGAGGGCAAGUCUGGUGCCAGCAGCCGCGGUAAUUCCAGCUCCAAUAGCGUAUACUAAAGUUGUUGCGGUUAAAAAGCUCGUAGUUGGAUCUCAGCUUUAGUGUUUACUGGUCCACGGUGAAUGAAACUGUGGCUACUGGUUCACUGAGCAAUUUUAUCGAGUUGUCUUUAAAUGCUUUUAGUUAAGCGUUUAAAGCGAUCGAUACGUUUACUUUGAACAAAUUAGAGUGCUCAAAGCAGGCAUUAUGGCCUGAAUAAUCUUGCAUGGAAUAAUAGAAUAGGAUGUCAGUUCUAUUCUGUUGGUCUCUAGGACUUGACAUAAUGAUUAAGAGGGACAGACGGGGGCAUUCGUAUUGCGGCGCUAGAGGUGAAAUUCUUGGACCGUCGCAAGACGAACUAAAGCGAAAGCAUUUGCCAAGAAUGUUUUCAUUAAUCAAGAACGAAAGUUAGAGGUUCGAAGGCGAUCAGAUACCGCCCUAGUUCUAACCAUAAACGAUGCCA